AAUAUCCUAGGUGACAAUUAAGCAGACAAAUUAAUCCUGGUUCAUGUACAUAGAAGAUCUUGCUCUUCUGGCUGCCCUGCCUUUUUGGGUUCCUCACCAGCACAUCUCCAUACUGGCCAAUGAUGGGGAACAUCUAGACACAAAAGACAACACCUCCUGACAUUAAAUGUGAAGACUCAUGUCCUAGAAGGCCUAGCUUUCUCAAUCAUGGAGCAGUUGGCACUGCUCAUUGCCAAGAAGAAAUUCCACAACCUGGAAGACUUGCUGAGAAAAGAACAACAGA